rnacentral:rRNA from 1 species
AAUCUUUUAUAAGAACAUUUAAAGAACGUCUUGGUAAAGAAAAAAGGACGUCGCGCGACGAAACGUUAUAAGUAGGCAUUGGCUUGUGAUCUAUAAAUUUCCUUUAGAAAACUAUCUUAUUGUAGAUUAUAAAAAUAUGCGAAUUGAAUCAUCUUAGUAGCAUUGAUACCAAAUCAACCGAGAUCCCGUUAGUAGUGGCGAAUGAAUGCGGUAAAGGCUUAUUACUUAUCAUUUUUUAAAUUUAACCUAAGAGGGUGUAAGUCCCGUAAAAUGUAAUCGAUAAGUAAUAUUAUAAGUAAUACGAGUAAAUUGUACGAACAAAGGAGGACCACCUUCUAAGCCUAAAUUUUUCUUUAACCGAUAGUGAACGAGUACCGUGAGGGAAAGACAAAAAAUACCGUAAGGAAGCUGACUUAAUAAAUUAGCGUUUUGAAUUUAAAUGUUUAAAUCAUACUUGAAGUUUCUAAUUUUUUAGGAAUAACAAGGUGCCUUUUGCAUAAUGAGCCAGUAAGUUAAUAUUUACAGCAAGCUUAAAAAUAUUAAUUGUAGGCAAUUAAAAAGUUGUAUAUAUUAAACCUGAAGCCAAGUGAUCUAAUUAUGAGCAGGUUGAUAACUCAUUAACAUGUUUUGGAAGACCGAACCCGUAUAUGUAGCAAAAUAUUGGGAUGACUUGUGGUUAGGGGUGAAAGGCCAAUCAAACUUGGCGAUAGCCGGUUUUUCACGAAAAGUAUUUAAGUACUACGUUACUAAAAGUACGUUGUAGGUACAGUAACAAAUUAAACAAUGGGAUGUAUAAAGUUUAUUGCGUUUAAUUUAACUUUGAACUAAAACUUCACUUUAGUAACAGACAGUCUUUGGGCGAUAAGGUUCAAGGACAAAAGGGUAACAACCCAGACCGUAUAUUAAGAUCUCUAAAUUAUAACUUAGUGGGGAAGAUUUGCAUUAUUUCAAAUAAAUUUGGGUAGGCUUAGAAGCAGCCUUCCAUUGGAGAAAGCGUUUUAGCUCGCUAUUUUUUAAUGCAAGUUUAAAAUAAACGAGGCUCCAAGUUAUAUAUCGAAGUAACGGAUCAGUAUAAUGUACUUGAUGGUAGUGAAACAUUCUGUUAACUAUUUAGGAGAACGAAAGUUUCUAAAAUAUAACCAGAAGCGCUAAUGCUGGCAUGAGUAGCGAAAACUAUGUUUUAAAACAUAGUCGCCUAUUGUUCAAGGUUUUCAACGUAAUUUUAAAUACGUUGAGUUAGUCGGUCCUUAAAAUUACAGUAAAAACUACAAUUGAUAGGAAUUUACCAGCCAUAAGUGCUUUAGCAUGAACGGGUCUAAAAAUUUAAAGUUGUCUUUAAUGGUUAAAAAACUGCAAACUUUAGAUCCCAGGAAAAAUUUAUGACGUAGUUGACCGUACCUAAACCGACACAGGUGAACAUGUUGAGUAUACAAAGGCGAAUGAGUAAAUUAAAUUGAAGGAACUCGGCAAAUUAACUCUGUAAGUUCGCGAUAAAGAGUGCCAGUUAUUAAACUGGCGUCACAAAAUAGAAAGCAACGACUGGUUACCAAAACCACAAGACUCUGCAAAUUAGUAAAUAAGACGUAUAGAGUUUGACAUCUGCCCAGUGCUUGAAGGUGAUAAACGUAGGUUAAGUGCUUACGUUGUAAUCCCAAGUAAACGGCGGUUCUAACUAUAAGAAUCCUUAGGUAGCGAAAUUCCUUGACGGGUAAGUUCCGUCCUGCAUGAAUGAUGUCACGAUUGCUUUACUGUCUCCAAUUUAAUCUCAGCGAAAUUACAUAGCCUAUGAAAAUGUAGGUAACCUGUAGUAAGACGGAAAGACCCUAGAUCCUUUACUUUAAUUUUAUAUUGAAAAAAUAAACAUGUUAUGUAGAAUAAAUGGGAGUAAUUAAAUUACACAAAUGAAAUACCAUUUUUCAUGCUAUGUUUUUUCUUUAUUUAUUUUAACAAUAAAAAUAGUAUAAAAUUGGGAGUUUACUUGGGACGAGUACCUCCUAAAAUGUAACGGAGGUGUACAAAGAUAAAUUUCAGUUGUUUGUAAAAACAAUUAAGCGUAUAAUGGCAAUAAAUUUGUUUGACAGUUAGAUUGAUAAAUCGUACUGGGACGCAAGUCAGUCAUAGUGAUCCGGUACCAAUGUGUGGAAAUUGUACCGCUCAACAAAUAAAAGGAACUCUAGGGAUAACAGAUUCAUCAUGGUUGAGAGUUCUUAUUGAUGCCAUGGUUUGAUACCUCGAUGUCGACAUAACCUCAUCUUAUCCUGGAAUUGAAGCAGAUUCCAAGGGUCUAGUUGUUCGCUAGUGAAGAAGGUACGUGAGUUGGGUUCAGAACGUCGUGAGACAGUUCGGUCCCUAUCUGCUACAGGUCAGAAAAAAUAAAAGCGUAUUUUUAGUACGAGAGGACCAAAAUAUUUUAACCACUGGUGUAUUGGUUGUUAGUACCAUUAGCAAGCCAAGUAGCUAAGUUAACAAAGUUUAUGUACUGAAAGAAUCAAUAGUACGAAAACUUCUUUUAAUUUUUUCAAGAAUAUUCUAGAAGACUACUAGAUAGAUCGGUUUGGCAUAUAUAAUUAGUAAUAAAGUUAUAGAACAAAUACGAAUUUAUUCAAAAAAGAUUUUA